rnacentral:rRNA from 1 species
AACAAGUUGGUGCCGCGAUGCAAGUCCACCCCCCCUCCCGGGGGGCGGGCGACACUUUUGAACUGCCGGGGACACCCUAAAGCCGAUCGCACCAACCCGCGCCGGGAAACCGGACGGGGGCCCAUGAGAAAGACAUGGGACGGUAACAGACGAUUUGGAUGAUUCUGCCGGGGCAGAGAAAUGGGCAAUCCGCAGCGAAGCCCCUACGGCCCCCCUGUACUGGGGGGCUACGGGGAACGUUCACAGACUAAGUGGAAGUGGGUGGGAUGCCGAAUCCUGCUUAAGAUAUAGUCGGGCCCCCUGGGAUGACCAGGGGGGUAAGUACACUGCAACUAACCGUUCCGUAGGUGAACCUGCGGAAGGAUCAUUACUGAGUGCGGGCCCCUCCCGGGUCCAACCUCCCACCCGUGUCUCUUGCAUACCCUGUUGCUUUGGCGGGCCCACCGGGGUACUCCCGGUCGCCGGGGGGCACUGCGCCCCCGGGCCCGCGCCCGCCAGAGCGCCUAUGAACCCUAAUGAAGAUGGACUGUCUGAGUGUGAGAUAUAAUGAUCAAAACUUUCAACAAUGGAUCUCUUGGUUCCGGCAUCGAUGAAGAACGCAGCGAAAUGCGAUAAGUAAUGUGAAUUGCAGAAUUCCGUGAAUCAUCGAAUCUUUGAACGCACAUUGCGCCCCCUGGCAUUCCGGGGGGCAUGCCUGUCCGAGCGUCAUUUCUGCCCUCAAGCGCGGCUUGUGUGUUGGGCGUGGUCCCCCCGGUUUAGGGGGGGACCUGCCCGAAAGGCAGCGGCGACGUUCCGCCUAGGUCCUCGAGCGUAUGGGGCUUUGUCACCCGCUCGGGAGGGGCCUACGGGCGUUGGCCAUCCACCAUUUUCUUACGGUUGACCUCGGAUCAGGUAGGAGUUACCCGCUGAACUUAAGCAUAUCAAUAAGCGGAGGAAAAGAAACCAACCGGGAUUGCCUCAGUAACGGCGAGUGAAGCGGCAAGAGCUCAAAUUUGAAAUCUGGCCCCCCUGGGGGUCCGAGUUGUAAUUUGGAGAGGAUGCUUCGGGUGCGGUGCCCAUCUAAGUGCCCUGGAACGGGCGGUCAUAGAGGGUGAGAAUCCCGUAUGGGAUGGGCGGCCGUGCCCGUGUGAAGCUCCUUCGACGAGUCGAGUUGUUUGGGAAUGCAGCUCUAAGCGGGUGGUAAAUUUCAUCUAAAGCUAAAUACUGGCCGGAGACCGAUAGCGCACAAGUAGAGUGAUCGAAAGAUGAAAAGCACUUUGAAAAGAGAGUUAAACAGCACGUGAAAUUGUUGAAAGGGAAGCGUUGGCCACCAGACGCGCCCGGGAGGGUUCAGCCGGCACUUGUGCCGGUGUACUCCCCCCCGGGUGGGCCAGCAUCGGUUUGGGCGGUCG